GUUCGGGGGGACAGGGUGACAGGUGGUGCAUGGUUGUCGUCAGCCCGUGUCGUGAGAUGUUGGGUUAAGUCCCGCAACGAGCGCAACCCUCGACCUUAGUUGCCAGCAUUCAGUUGGGCACUCUAAGGUGACUGCCGGCUAAAAGUCGGAGGAAGGUGGGGAUGACGUCAAAUCAUCAUGCCCCUUAUGACCUGGGCUACACACGUGCUACAAUGGGCGGUACAAAGGGUCGCGAACCCGCGAGGGGGAAGCCAAUCCCAUAAAGCCAGUCGUAGUCCGGAUCGUAGUCUGCAACUCGACUACGUGAAGUCGGAAUCGCUAGUAAUCGUGGAUCAGAAUGUCACGGUGAAUACGUUCCCGGGUCUU
rnacentral:rRNA from 1 species